AUUGAACGCUGGCGGCAUGCUUUACACAUGCAAGUCGGACGGCAGCACAGAGAAUAUUGCUUCUUGGGUGGCGAGUGGCGAACGGGUGAGUAAUAUAUCGGAACGUACCGAGUGAUGGGGGAUAACUAAUCGAAAGAUUAGCUAAUACCGCAUAUUCUCUGAGGAGGAAAGCAGGGGACCUUCGGGACUUGCGUUAUUCGAGCGGCCGAUAUCUGAUUAGCUAGUUGGAGGGGUAAAGGCCUACCAAGGCGACGAUCAGUAGCGGGUCUGAGAGGAUGAUCCGCCACACUGUGACUGAGACACAGCCCCGACUCCUACGGGAGGCAGCAGUGGGGAAUUUUAGACAAUGGGCGCAAGCCUGAUCCAGCCAUGCCGCGUGUCUGAAGAAGGACUUCGGGUUGUAAAGUAAUUUUGUCAGGGAAGAAAAGGAUGUUGCUAAUCUCGACAGCUGAUGACGGUACCUGAAGAAUAAGCACCGGCUAACUACGUG
rnacentral:rRNA from 1 species